UACGUAGGGUGCAAGCGUUGUCCGGAAUUAUUGGGCGUAAAGAGCUCGUAGGCGGUCUGUCGCGUCUGCUGUGAAAACUCAGGGCUUAACCCUGAGCUUGCAGUGGGUACGGGCAGACUAGAGUGCGGUAGGGGAGACUGGAAUUCCUGGUGUAGCGGUGGAAUGCGCAGAUAUCAGGAAGAACACCAACGGCGAAGGCAGCUCGCUGGGACGGAACUGACGCUGAGGCGCGAAGGCGUGGGGAGCGAACAGG
rnacentral:rRNA from 1 species